rnacentral:rRNA from 1 species
AGUGAACGCUGGCGGUAGGCCUAACACAUGCAAGUCGAACGGCAGCACAGUAAGAGCUUGCUCUUACGGGUGGCGAGUGGCGGACGGGUGAGGAAUACAUCGGAAUCUACUUUUUCGUGGGGGAUAACGUAGGGAAACUUACGCUAAUACCGCAUACGACCUACGGGUGAAAGCAGGGGAUCUUCGGACCUUGCGCGAUUGAAUGAGCCGAUGUCGGAUUAGCUAGUUGGCGGGGUAAAGGCCCACCAAGGCGACGAUCCGUAGCUGGUCUGAGAGGAUGAUCAGCCACACUGGAACUGAGACACGGUCCAGACUCCUACGGGAGGCAGCAGUGGGGAAUAUUGGACAAUGGGCGCAAGCCUGAUCCAGCCAUACCGCGUGGGUGAGGAAGGCCUUCGGGUUGUAAAGCCCUUUUGUUGGGAAAGAAAAGCAGCAGGUUAAUACCCCGCUGUUCUGACGGUACCCAAAGAAUAAGCACCGGCCAACUUCGUG